GAUGAACGCUGGCGGCGUGCCUAAUACAUGCAAGUCGAGCGAACGGACGAGAAGCUUGCUCUUCUGAUGUUAGCGGCGGACGGGUGAGUAACACGUGGAUAACCUACCUAUAAGACUGGGAUAACUUCGGGAAACCGGAGCUAAUACCGGAUAAUAUUUUGAACCUCAUGGUUCAAAAGUGAAAGACGGUCUUGCUGUCACUUAUAGAUGGAUCCGCGCUGCAUUAGCUAGUUGGUAAGGUAACGGCUUACCAAGGCAACGAUGCAUAGCCGACCUGAGAGGGUGAUCGGCCACACUGGGACUGAGACACGGUCCAGACUCCUACGGGAGGCAGCAGUAGGGAAUCUUCCGCAAUGGGCGAAAGCCUGACGGAGCAACGCCGCGUGAGUGAUGAAGGUCUUCGGAUCGUAAAACGCUGUUAGUAGGGAAGAACAUAUGUGUAAGUAACUGUGCACAUCUUGACGGUACCUAAUCAGAAAGCCACGGCUAACUACGUG
rnacentral:rRNA from 1 species